rnacentral:rRNA from 1 species
GACGAACGCUGGCGGCGUGCUUAACACAUGCAAGUCGAACGGAAAGGCCCUGCUUUUGUGGGGUGCUCGAGUGGCGAACGGGUGAGUAACACGUGAGUAACCUGCCCUUGACUUUGGGAUAACUUCAGGAAACUGGGGCUAAUACCGGAUAGGAGCUCCUGCUGCAUGGUGGGGGUUGGAAAGUUUCGGCGGUUGGGGAUGGACUCGCGGCUUAUCAGCUUGUUGGUGGGGUAGUGGCUUACCAAGGCUUUGACGGGUAGCCGGCCUGAGAGGGUGACCGGCCACAUUGGGACUGAGAUACGGCCCAGACUCCUACGGGAGGCAGCAGUGGGGAAUAUUGCACAAUGGGCGGAAGCCUGAUGCAGCAACGCCGCGUGCGGGAUGACGGCCUUCGGGUUGUAAACCGCUUUCGCCUGUGACGAAGCGUGAGUGACGGUAAUGGGUAAAGAAGCACCGGCUAACUACGUGCCAGCAGCCGCGGUGAUACGUAGGGUGCGAGCGUUGUCCGGAUUUAUUGGGCGUAAAGGGCUCGUAGGUGGUUGAUCGCGUCGGAAGUGUAAUCUUGGGGCUUAACCCUGAGCGUGCUUUCGAUACGGGUUGACUUGAGGAAGGUAGGGGAGAAUGGAAUUCCUGGUGGAGCGGUGGAAUGCGCAGAUAUCAGGAGGAACACCAGUGGCGAAGGCGGUUCUCUGGGCCUUUCCUGACGCUGAGGAGCGAAAGCGUGGGGAGCGAACAGGCUUAGAUACCCUGGUAGUCCACGCUGUAAACGGUGGGUACUAGGUGUGGGGUCCAUUCCACGGGUUCCGUGCCGUAGCUAACGCUUUAAGUACCCCGCCUGGGGAGUACGGCCGCAAGGCUAAAACUCAAAGGAAUUGACGGGGCCCCGCACAAGCGGCGGAGCAUGCGGAUUAAUUCGAUGCAACGCGUAGAACCUUACCUGGGUUUGACAUGGAUCGGGAGCGCUCAGAGAUGGGUGUGCCUCUUUUGGGGUCGGUUCACAGGUGGUGCAUGGCUGUCGUCAGCUCGUGUCGUGAGAUGUUGGGUUAAGUCCCACAACGAGCGCAACCCUUGUUCACUGUUGCCAGCACGUUAUGGUGGGGACUCAGUGGAGACCGCCGGGGUCAACUCGGAGGAAGGUGGGGAUGACGUCAAGUCAUCAUGCCCCUUAUGUCCAGGGCUUCACGCAUGCUACAAUGGCUGGUACAGAGAGUGGCGAGCCUGUGAGGGUGAGCGAAUCUCGGAAAGCCGGUCUCAGUUCGGAUUGGGGUCUGCAACUCGACCUCAUGAAGUCGGAGUCGCUAGUAAUCGCAGAUCAGCAACGCUGCGGUGAAUACGUUCCCGGG